GGGUUGUGAGGUUAAGCGACUAAGCGUACACGGUGGAUGCCCUGGCAGUCAGAGGCGAUGAAGGACGUGCUAAUCUGCGAUAAGCGUCGGUAAGGUGAUAUGAACCGUUAUAACCGGCGAUUUCCGAAUGGGGAAACCCAGUGUGUUUCGACACACUAUCAUUAACUGAAUCCAUAGGUUAAUGAGGCGAACCGGGGGAACUGAAACAUCUAAGUACCCCGAGGAAAAGAAAUCAACCGAGAUUCCCCCAGUAGCGGCGAGCGAACGGGGAGCAGCCCAGAGCCUGAAUCAGUGUGUGUGUUAGUGGAAGCGUCUGGAAAGGCGCGCGAUACAGGGUGACAGCCCCGUACACAAAAAUGCACAUAUUGUGAGCUCGAUGAGUAGGGCGGGACACGUGGUAUCCUGUCUGAAUAUGGGGGGACCAUCCUCCAAGGCUAAAUACUCCUGACUGACCGAUAGUGAACCAGUACCGUGAGGGAAAGGCGAAAAGAACCCCGGCGAGGGGAGUGAAAAAGAACCUGAAACCGUGUACGUACAAGCAGUGGGAGCCUCUUUUAUGGGGUGACUGCGUACCUUUUGUAUAAUGGGUCAGCGACUUAUAUUCUGUAGCAAGGUUAACCGAAUAGGGGAGCCGAAGGGAAACCGAGUCUUAACUGGGCGUUAAGUUGCAGGGUAUAGACCCGAAACCCGGUGAUCUAGCCAUGGGCAGGUUGAAGGUUGGGUAACACUAACUGGAGGACCGAACCGACUAAUGUUGAAAAAUUAGCGGAUGACUUGUGGCUGGGGGUGAAAGGCCAAUCAAACCGGGAGAUAGCUGGUUCUCCCCGAAAGCUAUUUAGGUAGCGCCUCGUGAAUUCAUCUCCGGGGGUAGAGCACUGUUUCGGCAAGGGGGUCAUCCCGACUUACCAACCCGAUGCAAACUGCGAAUACCGGAGAAUGUUAUCACGGGAGACACACGGCGGGUGCUAACGUCCGUCGUGAAGAGGGAAACAACCCAGACCGCCAGCUAAGGUCCCAAAGUCAUGGUUAAGUGGGAAACGAUGUGGGAAGGCCCAGACAGCCAGGAUGUUGGCUUAGAAGCAGCCAUCAUUUAAAGAAAGCGUAAUAGCUCACUGGUCGAGUCGGCCUGCGCGGAAGAUGUAACGGGGCUAAACCAUGCACCGAAGCUGCGGCAGCGACGCUUAUGCGUUGUUGGGUAGGGGAGCGUUCUGUAAGCCUGUGAAGGUGUGCUGUGAGGCAUGCUGGAGGUAUCAGAAGUGCGAAUGCUGACAUAAGUAACGAUAAAGCGGGUGAAAAGCCCGCUCGCCGGAAGACCAAGGGUUCCUGUCCAACGUUAAUCGGGGCAGGGUGAGUCGACCCCUAAGGCGAGGCCGAAAGGCGUAGUCGAUGGGAAACAGGUUAAUAUUCCUGUACUUGGUGUUACUGCGAAGGGGGGACGGAGAAGGCUAUGUUGGCCGGGCGACGGUUGUCCCGGUUUAAGCGUGUAGGCUGGUUUUCCAGGCAAAUCCGGAAAAUCAAGGCUGAGGCGUGAUGACGAGGCACUACGGUGCUGAAGCAACAAAUGCCCUGCUUCCAGGAAAAGCCUCUAAGCAUCAGGUAACAUCAAAUCGUACCCCAAACCGACACAGGUGGUCAGGUAGAGAAUACCAAGGCGCUUGAGAGAACUCGGGUGAAGGAACUAGGCAAAAUGGUGCCGUAACUUCGGGAGAAGGCACGCUGAUAUGUAGGUGAAGUCCCUUGCGGAUGGAGCUGAAAUCAGUCGAAGAUACCAGCUGGCUGCAACUGUUUAUUAAAAACACAGCACUGUGCAAACACGAAAGUGGACGUAUACGGUGUGACGCCUGCCCGGUGCCGGAAGGUUAAUUGAUGGGGUCAGCGCAAGCGAAGCUCUUGAUCGAAGCCCCGGUAAACGGCGGCCGUAACUAUAACGGUCCUAAGGUAGCGAAAUUCCUUGUCGGGUAAGUUCCGACCUGCACGAAUGGCGUAAUGAUGGCCAGGCUGUCUCCACCCGAGACUCAGUGAAAUUGAACUCGCUGUGAAGAUGCAGUGUACCCGCGGCAAGACGGAAAGACCCCGUGAACCUUUACUAUAGCUUGACACUGAACAUUGAGCCUUGAUGUGUAGGAUAGGUGGGAGGCUUUGAAGUGUGGACGCCAGUCUGCAUGGAGCCGACCUUGAAAUACCACCCUUUAAUGUUUGAUGUUCUAACGUGGACCCGUGAUCCGGGUUGCGGACAGUGUCUGGUGGGUAGUUUGACUGGGGCGGUCUCCUCCUAAAGAGUAACGGAGGAGCACGAAGGUUGGCUAAUCCUGGUCGGACAUCAGGAGGUUAGUGCAAUGGCAUAAGCCAGCUUGACUGCGAGCGUGACGGCGCGAGCAGGUGCGAAAGCAGGUCAUAGUGAUCCGGUGGUUCUGAAUGGAAGGGCCAUCGCUCAACGGAUAAAAGGUACUCCGGGGAUAACAGGCUGAUACCGCCCAAGAGUUCAUAUCGACGGCGGUGUUUGGCACCUCGAUGUCGGCUCAUCACAUCCUGGGGCUGAAGUAGGUCCCAAGGGUAUGGCUGUUCGCCAUUUAAAGUGGUACGCGAGCUGGGUUUAGAACGUCGUGAGACAGUUCGGUCCCUAUCUGCCGUGGGCGCUGGAGAACUGAGGGGGGCUGCUCCUAGUACGAGAGGACCGGAGUGGACGCAUCACUGGUGUUCGGGUUGUCAUGCCAAUGGCACUGCCCGGUAGCUAAAUGCGGAAGAGAUAAGUGCUGAAAGCAUCUAAGCACGAAACUUGCCCCGAGAUGAGUUCUCCCUGACCCUUUAAGGGUCCUGAAGGAACGUUGAAGACGACGACGUUGAUAGGCCGGGUGUGUAAGCGCAGCGAUGCGUUGAGCUAACCGGUACUAAUGAACCGUGAGGCUUAACCUUACAACGCCGAAGCUGUU
rnacentral:rRNA from 1 species